ensembl:snoRNA
GCCCAAUGAUGAGACUAAGGCGAAUACGAGCUUACUGAAGGAGAGCUGGGUUCUUCUUGCCUCUAUUGGCAGGUAAUCUUGGUAGUGCAGAGGAGCAUUCCUGCUCUGCUGUAAGGGCCUGCCUACAGUGACUUUGCUUCACCCAAAUUAGUCCUCUUUAAAGUUACAGUGGAGUAAUCACGGGUAUGAAGCUGACAGUAUGUGUACAUGUGGAAGAGGCAAGGAGCUCGCCCAGCUCUCUUCAAUGUUCAGUCUGCUGUGAGUUGCUUCUUUGGUAAUCUGAGGGCA